rnacentral:snRNA from 1 species
GAGUAUUCAACCUGGGAAUGUAGGAACUGACGUGUUAGUAGUGAGCUGACAUUGAGUAUUAAAAAUUUGUAGUCUAUUUCGAUUUGAAAAGGCUAUGGAAUGAUUAGUACUGAUGAGAGAAAUAUAUUAUAGAUGAGUAAUGUAUAAUAUAUGAGUCGCAGGUAAAUACAUGUUUUUACGAUUGAAAUAUAACGUUGUUUUAUAUUUGAUUGUAAAUGUAGUGUAUUUAGUGUAGUCAAUUUUGACAAUAUGUGUUGAAUUGAUAUUUACACGAAUGUUAAAUAUAAGAGGUUGUUGUAUUAUUAUGGUUUCCAAAGAAUUAUAUGUGAUAAGUAUUAAUGUAUGACUCUACAUUGUUAUAUAGUAGUUAUGUUGUUUAUAUAUAUUUAUAUGUAUAUAUAUGAUAUAUAUAUUAUUGUAUAAUGGUGUUUUGGGAGCGUACAAUGUUGGAAUAUUUCGUAACCAUUGUUGAAAAGAAAAAGUAAUAAUUUUUUAUAAUAUAUU